rnacentral:rRNA from 1 species
UGCGACCCCAGGUCAGGCGGGGUUACCCGCUGAGUUUAAGCAUAUCA